rnacentral:rRNA from 1 species
UGGGGAAUAUUGCACAAUGGGGGAAACCCUGAUGCAGCGACGCCGCGUGAGCGAAGAAGGUUUUCGAAUCGUAAAGCUCUGUCCUAUGAGAAGAUAAUGACGGUAUCAUAGGAGGAAGCCUCGGCUAAAUACGUGCCAGCAGCCGCGGUAAUACGUAUGGGGCGAGCGUUGUCCGGAAUUAUUGGGCGUAAAGGGUACGUAGGCGGUCUAUUAAGUCAGGUGUGAAAGCGUGAGGCUUAACCUCAUUAAGCACUUGAAACUGAUAGACUUGAGUGAAGGAGAGGAAAGUGGAAUUCCUAGUGUAGCGGUGAAAUGCGUAGAUAUUAGGAGGAAUACCGGUGGCGAAGGCGACUUUCUGGACUUUUACUGACGCUCAGGUACGAAAGCGUGGGGAGCAAACAGG